GACGAACGCUGGCGGCGUGCUUAACACAUGCAAGUCGAACGGAAAGGCCUGCUUUCCCUUGUGGAUUGCGAGUACUCGAGUGGCGAACGGGGGAGUAACACGUGAGUGAUCUGCCCCCAACUUGGGUAUAAGCCUGGGAAACUGGGUCUAAUUCCCGAUAGGACUGCAGGGUGGUGCAUGAGGUGGAAAACGAUUUUUUAGUGGAUGGGGAUGAGCUCGCGGCCUAUCAGCUAGUUGGUGGGGUAAUGGCCUACCAAGGCGGCGACGGGUAGCCGGGGUGAGGGUGUGUACGCGGACAUUGAGACUGAGAUGCGACAUAGGCUCCUACGGACGGCAGAAGUGCGGACUGGUGGACGAUGUGGGGAAUACUGCUGCAUCGACGCAGCGUGGAUGAUGACAGGCUUCGUGUUGUAAGCUCCUUUCGGCCGCGUGGAGGCCUCCUGGAUGGGAGGAUAAUGACGGUAGUAUAGGAGAAAGCCCCGGCUAACUACGUG
rnacentral:rRNA from 1 species